UACGUAGGGUCCGAGCGUUGUCCGGAAUUAUUGGGCGUAAAGAGCUCGUAGGCGGUUUGUCGCGUCUGCUGUGAAAACCCGCGGCUCAACUGCGGGCCUGCAGCCGAUACGGGCAGGCUAGAGUUCGGUAGGGGAGACUGGAAUUCCUGGUGUAGCGGUGAAAUGCGCAGAUAUCAGGAGGAACACCGGUGGCGAAGGCGGGUCUCUGGGCCUGACCUGACGCUGGAGGAGCGAAAGCGUGGGGAGCGAACAGG
rnacentral:rRNA from 1 species